ACCUGGGUGGCUCAGUCGGUUGAGCAUCUGACUUCAGGUCAGGUCAUGAUCUCGCAGUUUGUGGGUUUAAGCCCCACAUCGGGCC
rnacentral:tRNA from 1 species